rnacentral:rRNA from 1 species
CGUGAGGGAAAGGUGAAAAGAACCCCGGAAGGGGAGUGAAAUAGAACCUGAAACUAUUGACUUACAAGCUGUAGGAGCUGAGCCCAUCACCGAGGAUAUUUUAAGAAAGUGAGUCAUCAAACGAGCAAAGAGUGACGAACGGACCAAAGAGUAUCUUCCGUGAUGGGCUUGGUGACUGCGUGCCUUUUGCAUAAUGAGCCGGCGAGUUAUUCUACCGUGCGAGGUUAAGGGGUUGUAGCCCUGAAGCCGAAGGGAAACCGAGUCUGAUAAGGGCGAUUUAGUACGAUGGAAUAGACCCGAAGCCGCGUGAUCUAUCCAUGAGCAGGUUGAAGCGUGGGUAAUACCAUGUGGAGGACCGAACUGGUUGCGGUUAAAAACGCAUCGGAUGACUUGUGGAUAGGGGUGAAAGGCUAAACAAACGUGGCGAUAGCUGGUUCUCCUCGAAAUGCCUUUAGGGGCAGCCUCACGUAGUAACUGAUGGUAGUAGAGCACUGGAAGGGCUAGGGCGGGGAAACCCGUACCAAACCCUACUAAACUCCGAAGGCCAUCAGUGUAAUCGUGGGAGUGAGACUGUGGGGGAUAAGCUUCAUAGUCGAGAGGGAAAGAGCCCAGACCGUUAUCUAAGGUCUCUAAAGCAUUGCUAAGUGGGAAAGGAUGUGCCGAUGCCAGGACAGCCAGGAGGUUUGCUUAGAAGCAGCAAUCCUUAAAAGAGUGCGUAAUAGCUCACUGGUCGAGCAUUGGUGCGCCGAAGAUAUAACGGGGCUAAAGCAAUGUACCGAAGGUACGGCAUUACUCUUUUUGGAGUGAAGAGUAUUGGGUAGAGGAGCGUUCUGGAAGCUGACGAAGGUGUGCCGUGAGGCAUGCUGGAGGCAACAGAAGUGAGAAUGCCGGCAUGAGUAGCGAUAAAGCAGAUGAGAAAUCUGCUCGCCGUAAGUCCAAGGAUUCCUGGGUAAAGCAGAUCUUCCCAGGGUUAGUCGGGUCCUAAGGUGAGGCCGAAAGGCGUAGCUGAUGGAAAACAGGUUAAUAUUCCUGUACCAGCGAAUGACCGUUAAUACCGAUGCGGUGACGCAGAGGGUAAAUCCAAGCAGACUGAUGGAUGUCUGUCUAACUUUGUAGGGGUUAUGUGAGGCAAAUCCUUGCAUUAUAAAUCCCUGAUGAAGGACGGGGACUGUGCAGCGAUGCAUGGGAACUUGGAGGAGCCGUACUGCCAAGAAAGAGCCGCUCAGGGAGGUUAUUUGUUGCCCGUACCGGAAACCGACACAGGUGGACGAGGGUAGUACCCAAAGGCGCACAAGAGAACCCCUGUUAAGGAACUCGGCAAAAUGCACGUGUAACUUCGGGAUAAGCGUGGCCUCAAGUAGGUGAUGGGGAGAAACCGAAGCUGAAAGAGGUUGCAAAAAAGAGGCUCUGGCGACUGUUUACCAAAAACACAGAUCUCUGCUAAGACUUAAGUCUAAGUAUAGGGAUUGAGACCUGCCCGGUGCCAGAAGGUUAAAGAAGGGGGUCAACGGGGUAACCCGUGAAGCUCUUGACUGAAGCCCUGGUAAACGGCGGCUGUAACUAUAACAGUCCUAAGGUAGCGAAAUUCCUUGUCGGGUAAGUUCCGACCUGCAUGAAUGGUAUAACGACUGGAGCGCUGUCUCAACAGGGGACUUGGUGAAAUUGAAGUAUCGGUGCAAAUACCGAUUACCCGCAGCUAGACGGAGAGACCCUGUGAACCUUUACUGUACCCUGGCAUUGUAUUCUGGCACGUUCUGUGUAGGAUAGGUGGGAGGCUAUGAAGCGUGGGCGCCAGCUUGCGUGGAGCCAACCUUGAAAUACCACCCUUAACGUGUCGGACUACUAACGGAUGCUGUGGAAGCAUCUAGACAGUGUCAGGCGGGCAGUUUGACUGGGGCGGUCACCUCCCAAAGUGUAACGGAGGUGUACGAAGGUUCCCUCGAGCUGUAUAGAAAUCAGCUGAAAGAGCGUAAAGGUAUAAGGGAGCUUGACUGCGAGAGAGACAUCUCGAGCAGGGACGAAAGUCGGUCUUAGUGAUCCGGUGGUUUUUGUAUGGAAAAGCCAUCGCUUAACGGACAAAAGGUACUCCGGGGAUAACAGGCUGAUACCGCCCAAGAGUUCACAUCGACGGCGGUGUUUGGCACCUCGAUGUCGGCUCAACUCAUCCUGGGGCUGAAG